GCCCCCGUCGUCUAGAGGCCUAGGACACAGCCCUUUCAAGGCUGCGACGCGGAUUCGAAUUCCGCCGGGGGCA
rfam:Anaerolineaceae bacterium 4572_32.1 ex4572_32.1_scaffold_4436, whole genome shotgun sequence.